rnacentral:rRNA from 1 species
CGCGUAGGCGGUGAUCUUUGUCAGAGGUGAAAGCCCGGGGCUCAACUCCGGAAUUGCCUUUGAAACGGGAUCGCUAGAGUCCGAGAGAGGAUGGCGGAAUUCCUAGUGUAGAGGUGAAAUUCGUAGAUAUUAGGAAGAACACCGGUGGCGAAGGCGGCCAUCUGGCUCGGUACUGACGCUCAGGCGCGAAAGCGUGGGGAGCAAACAGGAUUAGAUACCCUGGUAGUCCACGCCGUAAACGAUGAGUGCUAGUUGUUGGGAAGUUUACUUCUCAGUGACGCAGCUAACGCGUUAAGCACUCCGCCUGGGGAGUACGGUCGCAAGAUUAAA